AUGAGGAUCCUGGUUGGUGGAGCCACUUGUUGUAGGAGGACCUUCCCCCAGGAGAGGACUUCCCCAAGACCCCUGGGGUUCGGGAAGGUCAGUGGCUGUGAGCUGAUGGCACCCUGUGAGCUACCAGCACCUGCAGCACCAACACCUUCCCCUCGGUGGCUUUUGCAAGAGAAGACCAGUUUGGCUGGCAAAGGCUGGGACCACCUCGGAGGUAGGCUGUGCUCCCCCCCCAGUGAAUCAUGGCCAGCUCUGGAGUCCUCAGCACAGAAAGGACGUGGACCUGUUGGAGUGGGGCCAGAGGAGGCCAUGGAGAUGCUGGGAGGGCUGGAGGACAGGCUGAGAGAGUUGGGGGGUUCAGCCUGGAGAAGAGAAGGCUCUGGGGAGACCUUCCAGCCCCUUCCAGUCCCUCAAGGGGCUCCAGGAGAGAUGGGGAGGGACUUUGGGUCAAUGAGGGGAGCCAUAGGAAGGGUUUGACCCUGAAAGAGGGGAGAUGGAGCUGAGAUGUGGGGAAGAACUUCUUUGGUGUGAGGAUGGGGAGACCCUGGAGUAGAAGCGGUGAAUCAUGGCCAGCUCUAGAGUCCUCAGCACAGAAAGGACAUGGACCUGUUGGAGCGGGGCCAGAGGAGGCCAUGGAGAUGCUGGGAGGGCUGGAGGACAGGCUGAGAGAGUUGGGGGGUUCAGCCUGGAGAAGAGAAGGCUCUGGGGAGACCUUCCAGCCCCUUCCAGUCCCUCAAGGGGCUCCAGGAGAGAUGGGGAGGGACUUUGGGUCAAUGAGGGGAGCCAUAGGAAGGGUUUGACCCUGAAAGAGGGGAGAUGGAGCUGAGAUGUGGGGAAGAACUUCUUUGGUGUGAGGAUGGGGAGACCCUGGAGUAGAAGCUGUGGUUGCCCCAUCCCUGGAGGGGUUCAAGGGCAGGUUGGAGGGGGCUUGGAGCAACCUGCUCUGGUGGGAGGUGUCCCUGCCCAGGGCAGGGGGGUUGGAACAAGGUGAUCUUGAAGGU
rnacentral:lncRNA from 1 species